GUUGCCAUGGAAUGAAGGAACUAUGGCGGGGAUUGAGGGAAACCAGUCCUGACGUGCAGGAGGAUUCCAGGCCCAAUCUUACUGGAUAUGAGCCUAGCUUCGGACAGGAGGGUAGCUACUUCUGCAAGUGUCUUCUCUACACUAAGCUCUUCCCACCCAAACGGAGCUCACCGCCCCCCUUGUGUACUCUUCGGCACGUCUUCACCAGAACACUCGAUACAUUGCCAAAUCAUUGUCUGUUUAGACGAGAGUCUUGACGGCAGGGACUCUUGUUCACUUCUGUUCUCCCAUUCGCAAGUUCCUGACCAUGAGCCUCGCUGUCUUGUCUGUAAAGUGGUGCUGGUGUCUGCCUCUUAGGUAAGCAUUAGCUAAUGCAUGUGAAGUAUCUAAAACCACUCCAAUUAUAUAGCAAAGGCUCAAUAAAAGGUCGUUGUUAUUCAAACAGUUAAAUUGUAUUAAUUUACUUAAUGAACAUUUAUUCAGCACCCACCCUGUGCCAGACACUGUGCUUCACUCAUUGACAUAGAAUGGUGAGCAAGUAUGUGCAGGGUCUGUGCCCUCACAGAGCUUCAUGGUGAAUUGUAAAAGUAGCCAUAGGUUCAGUGGGUUCCCUUUCCGUGCCACCGCACUUUGACACUGAACUCAGCCAUGUGACUGGCUUUGAGCAAUGGGAUGUUAGACAACAUAU
rnacentral:lncRNA from 1 species